UUCUAAAGCUGAGCAAUUACCAAUUUCUGCUGGGAUGUCACCAGUGAGGUUAGCCGUAUAAAUUGAAAGAGUCUUGAGAAACUUCAAUUCCCCUAAACUUCUCGGAAUCUGUCCCGAAAUCCCAGUGUCUGCAAGACCCAGGAAUAUGCCCAGAGAGCUCAUUAUCAAACAGUUCAAGCUGUCUAAGUUUCGUACAGUUUCCUAUUUCUGCAGGAAUCUCCCCAUGUAGAAGAUUUGUACUUAGUGAAAGUGAUUGCAAUUCUGAUAGUUUGCCAAUUUCUGCUGGGAUAUUUCCUGUUAACGCAUUGAAACUGAGGUUCAAGUUGAUCAAUGAAGGCAGGUUUCCUAUGGAAGCUGGAAUUUCACCUGUGAGAUUGCCAUUGGUAAUAACAAGAGUAGUGAGAUGAUUAAAGGACAAGAGCUGGGUAGGGAAGCUGGUAGGAAGCUUAAUGGAGGUUAUUGUUAUUUCUGAGAUAAAACCAUCUUUAGAGCACUUCACAUACUCCCAUUUGCAUGGAUUUUGAUGGGUUGGAUCCCAAGAAGAGAAAAAAAUAGCUGAGAAAGAAGAAUUAAAAGUUGAAAGCCAUGAAAGUAGAGAGUGGCCUUCUUGGUUCAAUGCGGAGAUGGCUGGAAAAAGAGAGAUGUUGAGAAACAAGAGAAAAAUAGUUAUUGCAUUGCUUGACAUAAUGAGUGGUUCAGGUACAAUGAUCGCUCAUCUUUAGAGUUAAAAUGCACAGCAAUUGAGACUAUGGAAAGGACAAAGGAAAGAGCACACCAAAAGGGAGGUGGACACCACAACAUUUUUUCUCUAAUAUUUAUAAUAUUAUGGUGAAAUCUCAAAAUCAAUUUAUAUGAAGGGAAAAACCAACGUCCCUCUUAUCAUGAAAGUAGGCCAAUGAUCUUUCUCUAAAGGGUAACCUAAAAAAAAAAAAAAAAAAAAAUUAUAUAUUUAAUAGAGCCAUGCCUUGUAUGAGGAGGAUGUUUGUCCUUCCCCAUGCAUGAACCUUCUCAUUUAUUCAAUAUAAAGCUAAUACAAAUUUGGCAUUUAUCAUAUGAACUCUUCUUUCUUGGUACAGUAUUGACCUUUUUCUCACCUCUGCAAAUUUUUUUU